GCCUGGGUGGCUCAGUGGGUUAAGCGUCUGACUUCAGCUCAGGUCAUGAUCUCACGGUCUGUGGGUUUGAGCCCCAUGUCGGGCU
rnacentral:tRNA from 1 species